rnacentral:tRNA from 1 species
UACCUGGUGGCUGAUUUAGGUGUGAGUCUUUUAAACUCUUUAUGGCUUAAGCCUCGGGUGA